rnacentral:rRNA from 1 species
AUGCUGCCGGCUGGCGUCAAGUUCGAUCCCACGGAUCAGGAGCUGAUCGAGCACCUUGAGGCCAAAGUGAGUGCGGACAGCGCGAGAUCUCACCCUCUCAUCGAUUUGUUCAUACCAACCAUCGACAGCGAGCACGGCAUAUGCUACACCCAUCCUGAGAAACUUCCAGGUAUCACACUGAGUGGCCUAAGCAAGCAUUUCUUCCAGCACAAUUCCAGGGCGUUCAAAAGGGGCACGUGGACGCGUCGCAAGAUACAGUCGGAGUGCGGCAUGCACACGAUGUGGCACAACACCGGCAAUACCUUGCCGGUGAUGGUCAACGGCCGGCAGACGGGCAGCAAAAAGGUUCUGGUGAUGCACACCAACAAGAACUUCGACCAGUAG